rnacentral:sRNA from 12 species
UAUAAAUACAGGCAGAGAUGCACUGUAUACGUCUGAUUGCCGAUACGAGAUUGUAUUAAGCGUACUUGUAAGUACGCCGGGUCAGAUGGGGCAGCCUUUUGUGGGUUGCCUUUUUUCUUUU